rnacentral:lncRNA from 1 species
UCGACAACAAUCCCUGUAGCUCCUUGUUCGCUUCGCGUUCCAUCUCUUCCUCAAACCUUCUGAACUCCUCCAUCGCGCUUUCCAUGGCGGAAUCGAGGUAAUCUUCCGCUUCUUUCAUCGAAUCCUCAGCCGCUGCCACUUCUGUCUCAUGUUCGAGCUCCAUCGCCGCCCAUGAUUUGUAUGAUUCGAGCUCGAAUAAUUUCAUCAGAUCUUCGAUCGUUGAUGGAUCGAAGUUUUUAUCAUGGAGAGAUUGAUCGGAGAGAAAAGUGAACUGAGAAAUCAGAGCUUCCAUGGCGGAUUUGAGUGUUUUGGGCGUGUUUGGCACUCUGCUUCUUACUACUUGUUGGGUGAG